ACUCAAAUGAAUUGACGGGGGCCCGCACAAGCAGUGGAGUAUGUGGUUUAAUUCGAAGCAACGCGAAGAACCUUACCAGGUCUUGACAUCGUAUGCAUAACAUAGAGAUAUGUGAAAUCCCUUCGGGGACAUAUAGACAGGUGGUGCAUGGUUGUCGUCAGCUCGUGUCGUGAGAUGUUGGGUUAAGUCCCGCAACGAGCGCAACCCUUACCUUUAGUUGCUACGCAAGAGCACUCUAGAGGGACUGCCGUUGACAAAACGGAGGAAGGUGGGGAUGACGUCAAAUCAUCAUGCCCCUUAUGACCUGGGCUACACACGUACUACAAUGGCAAUUUAACAGAGGGAAGCAAUAUAGCGAUAUGGAGCAAAUCCCCAAAAAUUGUCUCAGUUCAGAUUGCAGGCUGAAACUCGCCUGCAUGAAGUCGGAAUUGCUAGUAAUCGCAGAUCAGAAUGCUGCGGUGAAUACGUUCCCGGGCCUUGUACACACCGCCCGU
rnacentral:rRNA from 1 species